ACUGGAAUAAAUACUCUAAUUAAUGAUGUGUAUUACAGUAGAUUAAGGUCCAAAUUUCGUUAUAUACAACAUUUAUUAGUUUUUAGACUUUAGGUUUGCACUCCGUCCGUCUGUCCAUCCGUCAGUCCGGCAAAUCAGUUUUCCACACUUUUUAUACGACCGCAAAAAAUUUUUGCGGUCGUAUAUUGGUAUGAAGUUGGCGUCGUCGUCGUCCGAAGACACAUUGGUUUUCGCACUCUAACUUUAGUUUAAGUGAAUGGAUCUCUUUGAAAUUUUACCAUAAGGUUCAAUACCACAAAAGGAAGGUGGGGAUUGAUUUUUGGGGUUAUGGUACUAACAGUUAAGGAAUUAGGGGCCAAAAGGGGCCAAAAAUAAGCAUUUUUGUAACUUCCAGACAUAACUUGUGUGCAAGUGUAUGGAUCUCUCUGACAUUGUACCACAAGUUUCCAUAUCACAAAGGGAAUGCUGGGAUUGAUUUUGGGGGUAAUUGUCUCCAAAUUUUAGGAAUUAGGGGCCAAAAAGGGGCAAAAAACAAGCAUUUUUCUAGUUUCAUGACAAUAACUUGCUUGUAAGUGUAUGGAUCUUUAUGAAAUUGUACUACAAGGUUCCAUAUCACAAAGGGAAUACUGGGAUUGAUUUUUGGAGUAAUUUCCUCCAAAUAUUAGGAAUUAGGGGCCAAAAAGGGGCAAAAAACAAGCAUUUUUCUAGUUUCAUGACAAUAACUUGUUUGUAAGUGUAUGGAUCUUUAUGAAAUUGUACUACAAGGUUCCAUAUCACAAAGGGAAGGCUGGGAUUGAUUUUGGGGGUUUUCACUAAAAAUUUUAGUAAUUAAGGGCCAUAAAAGGGCAAAAAAAACAUGCAUUUUUCUAGUUUCAGGACAAUAACUUGUGUGUAAGUGUAUGGAUCUUUAUGAAAUUGUACUGCAAGGUUCCAUAUCACAAAGGGAAAGCUGGAAUUGAGUUUGGGGGUAAUUGCCCUAAACGUUUAGGAAUUUGGGGCCAAAAAGGGGCCAAAAAACAAGCAUUUUUCUAGUUUCCAGACAAUAACUUGUGUUCAAGUGUAUGAAUCUCUCUGAAAUUGUAGUGCAAGGUACCAUACCACAAAGGGAAAGCUGGGAUUGAGUUUGGGGGCGGUGAAUCAUAAGGGGGUUCAAAAAAUUGGGGGGGGGGGGGGUUUUCCUUUUUUUUCUUUAACAUUUUCCAUUUUAAAUUGGUUAUUUCUGAUUUAUAUAUAAAAGCAAAUAAUAAUGAUAUGGUUUGAAUAGGCAUACAUGUGAACCUCCCGAAGGGAGUACAAUAAUCCUGUUUUCAGGGGUCUCCUCCCGACCUCCCGUUGAAGAGGAAAAAAUCCCGUGUAUGAAAUUUUUCAUGAAUGAAAAAUUUCUGCCCAACAUAUCAUCUCAGGCAUCUGGUGUAACUGACAUUACCUGAAGUUAUAUUUUACCUGUAAAUCAAUUAACAUGCAUAAUUAUAUGGCUUCACUUGUCAGCUUGGGUGUCAAACAUACUGGUAAGCAACGAUUUUUACCUCAGGCUAACUGCCGUUGUGUAACAAAAACUGUGUAUUUAUUGGGUUACUUCCCUUGAUUUAUCCUGUUUUAAGUUACUUUCCUUUUAAUAAUGAAAAUUUUUAAAAGAAUAUAAAUAAAAUAUAAAUUGAACAAAUAAUCAUAAAAGGAUGGUUAUUAAAUGAUUUUAAAUGUCUUAGGACAAAUAAAAAAAUAAUAAUUUGAAAAUUAUUUGAGGAUUCUAUACUUCCUUUUAAGGCUUAAAUUGAAAUUUAUAUAAUAACUAUGACCCUAACUUUACAGAUGGAAUGAAUUUCUGAGUUUGCAAAUAAAAACUAUUUGCAAGAGAAAAAAAAAAUAAAUAAAAACUAUUUGCA